rnacentral:rRNA from 1 species
CCUACGGGCGGCUGCAGUGGGGAAUAUUGGACAAUGGGCGAAAGCCUGAUCCAGCCAUGCCGCGUGUGUGAAGAAGGCCUUCGGGUUGUAAAGCACUUUCAGUGGGGAAGAAAGCCUUGGGGCUAAUACCCUCGAGGAAGGACAUCACCCACAGAAGAAGCACCGGCUAACUCCGUGCCAGCAGCCGCGGUAAUACGGAGGGUGCGAGCGUUAAUCGGAAUUACUGGGCGUAAAGCGCGCGUAGGCGGUCUGAUAAGCCGGUUGUGAAAGCCCCGGGCUCAACCUGGGAACGGCAUCCGGAACUGUCAGGCUAGAGUGCAGGAGAGGAAGGUAGAAUUCCCGGUGUAGCGGUGAAAUGCGUAGAGAUCGGGAGGAAUACCAGUGGCGAAGGCGGCCUUCUGGACUGACACUGACGCUGAGGUGCGAAAGCGUGGGUAGCAAACAGGAUUACAUACCCCUGUGUC